AUAACAUGUGCACGGGUCAUUGGGUGUAACGAAACCCAAAGUCGAAGUGAAAGUGAAGGUCUGGCUUGUCCGGACUGAGGUGAGAUCCUGUCAUGCCUCAUACGCGGUAUCACCAAGCAUCGAGCGGCAGGCGCAUCACCGGCCCGUCCCAUGGUGUGAUGACCCUAUUCAGAGUUUGUCAUCGGGGCGGAGCAUGAGCGUACAUGUUGAGACCCGAAAGAUGGUGAACUAUGCUUGCGGAGAUUGAAGCCAGAGGAAACUCUGGUGGAGGACCGCAGCGAUUCUGACGUGCAAAUCGAUCGUCAGACGUGAGUAUAGGGGCGGGGGCGAAAGACUCAUCGAACCAUCCAGUAGCUGG
rnacentral:ncRNA from 1 species